rnacentral:lncRNA from 1 species
UCAAUAUCUAAACUGCUACAUUUAUUGCUUAACUAAUCCUGUUGGUUCCGAUUCCAACUUUCCACCAUUAAAAUGGAAUUCAUCCAUUUUCCUCUGAAAGUGAUAUCUGCACUAUAUUUCUCUUUUCUUUUUCUAAACCCCCCUCAAUCAUUAAAGAAAUGGAAAGAGCACAGCUUCAACCAAUUAAUCAUAUUCAAAAUUCAACAUUCUAACCUUGGGUUU